GUCGUAACAAGGUUAACCUGCGGAAGGAUCAUUAAAGA
rnacentral:rRNA from 1 species